AAAAAUUAGGUUGCUGCUAAUCUCUCUCUUUUUUAUUCAUUUUUCCUCCAUUUUCCCACAAAAUCUCAAUCCCUCUCUUCGUUCUUUCAUGUACGUUUCAUUUUCUCUCUAUGGUUGUUCUUUCUACCCACCAAUAUCACUGUCCUUUUCUUUUUUCUUUUUAAAAUCUUGUUUUGCCUUUUCUGUUUCUAUCUAGAUCUGGGAAUUUUGUUCUGUUUUCGAGCUUAGCUUCAAAUUGUUACAAUUUGUGCCUCAGAUCUAACUCUAAGCAUAAACAAAGAGGAACCCAGAAAGGUAAAAUUACUGAAAAAGAAGAAAAAAUCCUAAAAAGUCUAUCCACUUGUCCAAUCUACGUGUCAUUUUUUCUUCGAAAUUGCCAAUAUACGUGGCUUGAAUAUGCUAAGCGAAUUCCUUUUAAAGUUCAAUACUUGAAUAUUUUGAUGAGUUAAGUUACAUGAUUUAUAAAAGCAAUAGCUUGAUGAGUUAAUUGUUUUUCCUUUUCUUUGUGUGAAUUGUAGGUGUAAUUUUUUCUUGGGAUAGUGCCAAUUUGUGUGGCUUAGAUAUACUCAAAAGUAUAUGAAGUACAAAAAAAUUCCUCAUCGAAACCGUGAGUCAGAAAAGCUAUCUAGAUCUUUGAUUAAAUUUGAACCUAAAUUGCUACAAUAAUUAAGACAAAUGUGUGGAACAUUAUGUGUGAAAAUGUUUUAAGUAAUAUAUUAUGUUUGCUUGUAGAUGCAUUUGUUGAACGGUAUGGAUAUUUGGUAUAUCAGUUGCUUGAAUAACUAUUUUUUUAAUUUUUUUGUAUUUAUGAGAUAGAGAUUUUGUUGAAUUUAACGAAUGUGUUCUCUUGUGUGAAUUCUAACUAAAGCCAAAAGGCUCAAAACUAUAGUGACGAACAUUGUGCUAAUGUACAGCUCUCUAUUUUUUCAUCCAAUUCUUUGGGAUAUUGUUACAUUAGUAAUUUACUUCAAAUCCAGAUAGAUGUCUGACCAAUUUGGGAAGUGUAGAAAGUCGAGUCAUAAUUCUUGCUUGUUGAAAUUGAGAAAACCAGACAUUUUGCCUCACUAUGGACAUGAUGUGUUUUUUUAUUGGAGUCAGUUUCGUAAUUUAUAAUUAUAUGCUUAUAAAUUAUUUAAUAUCACUUGGAUCAUUCUUUCUUUUUGUUUGUUGAUUAUAUCUCUAUAAAAUAGCUGAAAAUAGUUGUUCCCUUUUCCUAUAAUACUGUGUAACUUUUUCCGGUUUAGUGCAAGACAAUUUUUCCAAAAAAUGAACCAAGUACGUUUCAAUCACAAUGUAGAACCUACAAGUCAUGUUAAUAAGCAUUCUGAGCAUUUGUUAAAAAAUUGUUCAAGUGCCAAAUGUCAAUAUAUUAUAUUCAUUUAGUCACAAAUGACGAGGUAUUGUGAGUAGAACUAUACUUUUAAAACUCAUAUUAACAUCUAUAACUUAUGCUAACAAUUGCUCCCAAUUGUUAACUAGCAUUUGUUUAUAGAAAAAUGUUGAGGGUUCUCAGGGGGCAUUCAUUUGGACGUGGUAUAUCUAUUAGAAUGAGUGGUUAAGACUUGUCUUAAUUUACACAAGUUAGCUCGUACUUCAUGACACAUAUGAGUCUGAUAUCAAUACAUUUAGUUAGGUUACUAUCUCUAGGUUGGCAUUUUAAUAUUUGAAAUGAUGAUUUUCUCAUGGAUGCUUCCCGUACAUUUGUUUUAGGAAAAUUUUACUGGUAUAUAUUUGAUAGGAUCCUGCAACAGUAGCUGUUCGAUACACAGAAUCAAGGGCAAAAAGAGGACAUAAAUAGAACAAGAAGAAUCUGACAGAAUUGUAAUAUGUAUUCUAUAAUCUGAAGUGCUGUAAAUUCAAAUACAUUUUAAUAGAAAGAUAAUACAAAUAUGUAAGAUUGAUGAAAUGUAUUCCAACUCUAAUGCAAAAGAAAUAAUAAGUAUUUGGCAUUCGAGAGGCCAGUUCUCUCCCCUAGAUCCUUCUCCAUAUCUUCUCUAUUUGGCUAUUAUCUACCUAUAUUUAUAGCAUACAUGUAACUACUUUUCCCCCAACUAAUUUUACCCUCUAAUAGACUUUAGUUUUCCACCAUUUGCAGGUUAUUCUUCUUCUGGGUCCUUCUAGAUUAUGUGAGGUAGAUUGGAGCAUAUCAGUAUUCUACUUCAAUUGUACCCUUUCAAAUAAUGCCUUCAAGAUUAGACUUUUACCGUCUCGUUUACAUGCCCUGCAACUUCAUUUCUA